AUGGUCUGGGGAGAGGCUCCUGUGUUGCUGAACCUGCCGGCUUGCGGGUGCAGCCUUGUAACCAGACAGCCCGACCCUGACCUAAAGUAAAUUCCCGGGAGCAAGUUUUUCCUGGGGUUUGAAUUUGCAGUAACAGGUGUGAACAUUCUAGCAGCAGUUUGAUGAUCAUGUAUGAUACUGCAAACAGGA
rnacentral:snoRNA from 10 species